GUACUCUCACACUCCCGAUCUUUGGAUUGGGAGCGGUGGACUUGGGUGUUGCUGCUUACCGUGGCUCACCUCAAAUCGAUUCGUGCACCUCUUGGUUGGACAUAGUACGGCGUGAUAAGUGUCUUCGCCGGCACCUCAUUAGAGGGUGGCCGAUCGGGAGCUCUGUGCUUCAAACCGUCCUCGGACAACAACUGACA
rnacentral:misc_RNA from 1 species